GGAAGUUAAGAAACUGUUUCUUAACUUUUAACUAAAAAGGCUAAGAACCGGUUCUUAAAGUCCUUAUUUAAGAACCGGUUCUUAGCUUUUUUAGUUAAAAAUUAAGAAACAGUUUUUUAACUUCC
rnacentral:pre_miRNA from 1 species